rnacentral:misc_RNA from 1 species
GAUGAAGAACGUAGCGAGAUGCGAUAAGUAAUGUGAAUUGCAGAAUUCAGUGAAUCAUCGAAUCUUUGAACGCACAUUGCGCCCGCCAGUAUUCUGGCGGGCAUGCCUGUUCGAGCGUCAUUUCAACCAUCAAGCCUCAGGCUUGUGUUGGAGCCCUGCGGCUGCCGCAGCCUCCCAAAACCAGUGGCGGGCUCGCUAUCACACCGAGUGCAGUAGUUUACUCUUCGCUCAGGGCGUGUGGCGGGUGCUAGCCGUGAAACCCCCAACUUCUCAAGGUUGACCUCGGAUCAGGUAGGAAUACCCGCUGAACUUAAGCAUAUCAAUAAGCGGAGGA